rnacentral:tRNA from 1 species
CCGGGUGUAGCGCAGUUGGUAGCGCGCCUCGUUCGGGACGAGGAGGCCGUGGGUUCGAAUCCCGUCACUCGGACCA